CGGGGUUUCUAUUUGAACUAUUCGUUUCUAUUUGUAAUUCAAAAUUAAGUAAAGGAUUUUUAUUAAUAUAAUGUGUCGGCUAAAAAAUACCCGUUAUUUAUGCACCUAUGACCGUUUACUCAUGUUUAUUCAAUGUAACAAUUUUUACAGAAUUUAUUUGGCACACUGAAGUCCCUCCGCUCCAAAAAAAGGGUCCUCUGACCGCCGCCGAAAAGAAAAGGCGAUAUCGAGAAAAGCUUAAAAAGGAAAAUCCGGUUAAAUAUGAAAUGGAUAGAAAAAGGAAUUUGGAAAGGAUAAAAAUGAAACCAAAAAUUAAAAUAGCAGACCUAAGCGAAACCGAAAAGGAGAAACUCAGAAAAAUUUGGAGAGAGAGAAAGAUGAAACAAAAACUAAACAAAACAUUACAGAAAUUGAAUAAUAUUUAGAAAAGAGGAAUGUAGUAUCAGGAACAUACUUUGAUAUUUCUCGGUAUACGGAUCAGUCAAUCAUUCUGAAGGCCGUGCCGCUUAGAUUGCCCUAUUUUUAGAAUUUAACUGGUACACUGAAGUCCCACAACUUCAAAAAAAGGGUCCUCUGACCGCCGCCGAUAAGCAAAGACGAUAUCGAGAAAAGCUUAAAAAUGAUCCAGUUAGAUAUGAAAUGAUUAAAAAAAAGAAUUUAGAAAGGACAAAAAUGAAACAAAUUAAAAUAGCAGACAUGAGUGAAUUAGAAAAAGAGAAACGCAGAAAAUAUUGGAGAGAAAGAAAGAUGAGACAAAAACAUAACUCAUUGCAGCAAAUGAAUACUAGUGUCAUAUUUAGAAAAAAAUAACCUUAUAGUCCAGGAACAUAUUUUGAUUCAUCUCAGUAAUAUGAAAUAUAGGAUUAAUCAAUCUCUCUGGAGACCGUGCCGCUAGAUUACCAAAUUUUUGUUUUCUAACUUUCUAUUCAGAAUUUUUACUUUUACUCAUACAACUGAAUUAGCUAUAUAGCUAUAUUUUGCAGAAAUAACUUAUUUAGACAGAAAUAUCAGCUGCUGAAUGGCAAAGACAAUAUCGAGGAAAUGACCCGAUUAUUUGAUUUAAUAAGAACAACCCAGAACGUAGAAAGGUUGACUUUGUACCGAUUAUCAAAAAGGUAGCCCAACAUAAGCAAAUCAGAUAGGAAAACGAAGGCGAUUUUGGAGAGAAAAAUUAAACAAAAACAAAGGAAAAUUUGGUCUUACUAGAGAAGCCAACACAUAUUAUCAUAAAAGUAAAAUCAAACAGAUAUGAGCGAAUAAUCAAAACGAGACGAAAAAUAAACACUGAAAAGAAAUUAACUAAAAACUAAGCAACCCUUGAGACCGUUGCAUAAGAAAAUCUGUAAUGUUUCAAUUGUCAUGUUAAACGCGUUUUGAAAUAUAUUGUCACUCAUGAUUCAUUUUUAUGUUUGAUUAUAAGAUCCUCAUUUAGUCCUGCAUGAAACGGGGAGUGAAGCUUCAAUUAAAAUAGGCGAAGAUGUUUAUUGAGUAUAAGUACGGAUAUCUAAUUGUUUAAACCUGUAUAGAUCAUCUGACCUCGAUAGUUUUUAAUUUGUGUAGAUGUAGUUAUAGAAAUUAAAGAUAAAACAUUUAAUUAAUUAAUUAUUGUUGAAACUACAGUAUUUUUCAAACUCGAUUGGUGACAGGUGUCAUCUCCAUAUAAUUUAUAACCUGAAAUUGAAAAAUCUCGCAAAAUAGUAUUGAAAGUCAACCUGUGAGCGUACCCAUCGAGUUUGAAAAGUACCUACUAUAAUCAAAUAUGCUAUGGAAAAGACAUAUAGUUAUCUGCUGCUAGUUUUCUUAAUAUUAAAUCAUUUGAUCAAGAUAACGAUGAUAGCGAUUAUGUUUUGGUCAGCGGACAGGUCACUGACAUACUUGUUUACUGUUCGAAGAGAUCCUCAAUUCAUCAUAAUAAGGAAGGAAUCUUAAUUCAUUUACCAUAUUUCAGGAUUAAUAACGCUGCACAGCGGGAAACAGGUGUAUUUAUACGACGGCUUCUCGUAUUAUGAGCAGCGCAAAAUCGCCGAAGGCGUGCGUUGGUAUUGCACCAGCAACAAUAGGCAUCGCUGCAGAUCCUUUCUCAUCCUGGAUUACAGUUUCAACGUCCUCAGGGCCAAUAUAAAUCACACCCAUCCACCGCCUGUGUAUCAAAGGGUUAGCAGUGGAAAAUAUAUUAAAGUUAGCAAAUUGAAUUACUCAAAUUACCUGUAUAACUCAUUUUCAUAACUUAUAUUAGAAACACCUCUUGAAGACUUAAGGCGCCUUGAGUUCAGGUGCUUGUCUCACUCUCACUGAGCGUGAGCGGUAUCGCGGUUUUGAAGUGUUAUUUUUAGUGAGUUUAAAAAAAACAGUAAUCGGUGAGUUCAAUCAAAAAUAAAAUGUUUUUAGCUUUUGUGCAAAAAUUAUGUAACAAAUUUUUAAUGGUACAUUUCAGACCGACAUUUUUGUUUUUUUUUUUAUAUCUAGCAAACGGUUUUAAAUUAGGUUUCGUAUCGAUGAGGUUACUAGGAAGGCCUUAAGAUUGUUAUUCAUAUUUUUUGUAUAGCCGUAUCGCCAAGACGAGCAAAGCGAAGCGCAGGGGCACUACCUACCUUUUCUCAAAGCGCUUCAUCGUUUUAUUUUGAAUCCUCAUAACUUGUGUUUGUAUUAUGCCAGAUAAUAAGUUGAAGUUUGUAUGGGGAAUCAGUAAAAAAAAGAGAUUGUAUAUAAGAUGCCCCCAAAUACGCAUUUCAGGUUUUUUAAUAGUAAAUCACCCCCGACGCUUUAAAUUAUUGAAUGGAAGAUUGUCAUAAGCAACUUACAAAAAGAAGUGAAAUCCCUUCAAAAACAUUUUCAUGUAAAAUGUUGCCAAGGCGAAAUCAUAAUGCUCGCACUCAAAAAGUUAUCAGAGCCAAGCUUCUAACUCUACAAGCCCUAACUUCACAAACUCACCUUUGUCAAAAUAUGUGGCUUGGCCUUUCGUUACCACAAGAAGUAUUGUAUAAUAAAAAAUAAUGAAUAGUGAAUACAUUUUUCACCUAACGCCGAUAUGAGCGUGACGUUAACGAAACGGCCAAGCCAUAUAUUUAGACUAAGGUGUAGAAUUUGUGAAGUGAGGGCUUGUAGAGUGAGAAGCUUGACUCUACAAGAGAUCUGAUAACUUUAUGAAUAACAAGGAAAAUUAAUUGUGAACAAAUAUGUUUACGAAAGGCACAUUAGCAUAUAAAAAUUGGCAAAACUUCAAAACGUUAAACUGUACACAAAGCGAUUAAUAAUAUGGUCCGAACUCCUGAGUUAUUCUGAGUUAACAUUCAAGGAUAAGUCUAAAAAGGGCGAAAGCGUUGGAUAACUCAAAAAUGUAUUUAAAAAUACGGAAAUAUUUUGAGAGCAAUCCCAGUAUGUCCAUCAGAGAUGUGGCUAAAAAGUAUAAAAACUUCAUUCUGAAUGAUUCCAAGGGCUAAAAAACACUAUAACUUAAAAACAUAUUUAAUACAAAAAAAAACGUAGUCUAAAACAAGCUGCUUCAAUAAAACCAAGGCUCCGCAAACUGUAUAAUAGCUUUCUUACGAAGAAUAAACGUACGUAAAAUUGGGCUACAAAACACUGCCGGGACCCCAAUUUUACACCUAACUGAGAGGACAGGAUCUCGCAGAAACCGUUAAGGCGAUCUUUGUGGAAAAGUAGUCUUUGGUUCCAAUGGCAAGCUAUUUGCGAAUGCGGGAUGAAGUCGACUCCAUUUAUUACGAGCUCUCAACUAUGAAAACCGUACUUACAUUAAAGCGUGACUACUUAAACGUUUUUACCCACGAUCCGAAAGCAGGAGGUAUACUGUUUUGGCCCGACUUGGCAUCCUGCCACUACACUAAGAAAACCAGAGAGAGAAUGAAAACUAACAGCGUUCAAUUCGUGCCAAAGAAUAUGAAUCCACCAAACUGCCCUGAAGUCCGUCCCAUUGAAACAAAAUUCACAGCAUCAGAUUCAAUUAAAGUUUCAAAAAAUAUUGGGCAAAGGCUACAAAGAUGGUGUCAAAUAGAAAUAAGGUUGUCAAAGAAGGUAACUCAAUAAGAAGCGUUCCAGGAUGAAUAAGAAAAAUAAUUAAUGGAUAUCUUAUGUUGUUAUGUUCUUUGGUAAUUUCUGCUAGAAAGCUUUUCAAUGCUGAUUCCGUUUUUUUUCGAAAAAUACAUAUUUCAUAUAAUACUGCAUUAUCAUUUGUUAACUGAAACAAAACAAGACUUGAUAAAAAAAAAUCCCCUAUGAACGUUCAAGUUUAUUCAUGUGUUGUUUCGUUCAAAAAAUGAAACGACUUAACUAUAUUCAAACAUUUUUUACGGAAUUUAUGUGGUACACUGAAGUCCCGGCCCUUCAAAAAGGGUCCUCUGACCGCUGCUGAAAGGCAAAGACGUUACCGAGAAAGGAAAACAUUGGAAUGGAUAAAAAUGAAACAAAAAAUUUAAAUAACGGACAUGAGCGAAUCAGAAAAAGAGAAACUCAGAAAAUAUUGGAGAGAGAGAAAGACAAAAACUACAUACAUCAUUGCAGCAAAUGAAUACUGGUUUCAUAGUUAGAAUAUAGGAUUGUGUCAUUGUAAAUAUAUUAAAACGUGUCACUUACGUAUAAGUUGAAGAACGUUCGACAUGUCUCACUCCGUACCGAGAAGAAUCGUCAGGAGAUCGCGUUGGUGGACCAGCUCAGACUGUGGGCCGCAGGCCUCCACGUCCGAUGAUUCGGCGCGGGCGCCGAAGGUGGCAGGGGAGAAGAGAAACUACCCUCGUUUAGGACAUUAUUGUCAAAUAAUGGGGUUGCACACAACACUCACUACAUCAUUCGCUAAUGGUUCGUCCACACUAUCCAUCGACGUCCACAGUACCCAAAAAAGAUUAUCAGCUCGGAGGCACAACCAACCACAAUCACGGUUAAAAUUUGAAUGGCGACUAAUUUCGAUAGCCUUCCGUACUUUUCGCCGAAUCACAAAUUUUUAUUUCGUCAGUUCGGUUACUUUAUCCAAACGUGUAGUGAGUCGAAUCCGAAUCCAAUAUGUGUUCCGUCACCGCAGAGCACCGGCUGCGGCUAUAUUUUUGACAACCGUAUUAUAAUGUAAAAAAACGCUACGAUUUUUCAAAAACUGCUGACUGGACCUACGGCACCUGAAGCAUGGUUGCAAAGAUUUUCCGGACGAAGUUGAGGCUGUAUAUAGUUAAGUGAUAUGAUAUGUUGUCUUAUAAUGUACGUAAACAUGAACAUAUGUUAUAAAAUGAAGUAAUGUGAACAUGAAGUAAAAUAGAAAUUUCUUCAAAUACUGCAUUGUCAUUCGUGUACUGGAAUAAUCCACAUUUAAUGAAACCAGCAAUGGAAAAAAAGGAUGCUUCAUUGAAAAAUUUAUAAUGUUUUAGGUUCAUUCAUAGAAUUACAAAACGGCAAGCGGAUUUACCUAUACGAUGGCUUUUCAUAUUACGAACACGGCAAAGUUGCCAGGGGAUCUCGCUGGUACUGCACAAACAACAGCAACCACCGCUGCAGGUCCUACCUGCACUUAGACUACGAUGCCAACAUUACCAGGGCCAACAUUAACCACACACAUCUACCUCCCACGUAUCAUAUGACUAAUAAUGGAAAAUAUAUUAAAGUUAGAUAGAUCAGUAGCUUAUACUUCAAGAGUAACCCAACGUGGUAUUGUUUUUCUUAGAAAAUCUCAAGUUUUAAAAAAUGACUUUAGUUACGAGUAAUUUAUUUAUAACUUAAUAAAUAUAAACCCACUGAAGAAAUGAUGAUUAAUGUCAUUUAUUUAUUUAUUGUACUGUCCUUGUAAAUAAAAUUGAUUAACUAAAAAUAUAUUAAUUCCAAUUAGGUACCUUUUUAUAUUCAAAGAAUGUAACUUAUAAGUUAAUAUAAAAAAAAUAAUAGAAACAAAUCCCUUAUUCACUUCAGGUUUGUAUUUAUUCCUAUAAAUCAUAAUCGGAGUAACAAUGCCAUUAAAAUGAUAUGGUGUAAAUAUCAUUUCCAGAAAAACUUAGUGGACCUUUAUCUGCUGCUGAAAGGCAGCGACUAUGCAGAUUAAGACGAAAGCUACAUAACCCUGACAGAUACAAUGAGAUAAAGAAAAAGGAUAGAGAGAGAUACCAUCACAAGAAGCGUUUAGUGAAAGACAUGACGCCCUUUGAGCAUUAUUUGGCCAAAACAAAAUGGUGCAUAGAUAAUGACAAGAGGAGGAAUCGACAACAAGAUUCAUCUGACUCCCACGUAUCGUAAGAUCAAUAAUGGCAAAUAUAUCAAAAUAGAUAGAUUAGUAUCAGAGUAGAGUAGAGUAGUAGUUUAGCGGCAUUAUGCUGCUCCAUUUAAGCGUCCGAUGUUUUAUGGAUGCAUGUCUACUUUUCCUCUUCUUUGUGUAUAAGUUGUGACGUUUUUUUUUUUCUUUUUUUGUUUAAUAGCUUAUACUUGGAGAAUAAGAGCAAAAACACAAUUUGCUUCCCAGAAAAUCUCAAGUUUUGAACAAUGGGUUUAGUUAAAAGUUUAUUAAAUACUAAAUCAAAUCUACUGGCGGAAUGAUGAUUGACGUGAUCUAGAAUUAGUCAUUUUUUUUACUGUCGUUGUAAAUUAAUUUAAUUAUAAUUUAUAAGUAAAUUAAAAUAAAUCCA